rnacentral:rRNA from 1 species
CCUACGGGAGGCAGCAGUGAGGAAUAUUGGUCAAUGGGCGCGAGCCUGAACCAGCCAAGUAGCGUGAAGGAUGACUGCCCUACGGGUUGUAAACUUCUUUUAUAAAGGAAUAAAGUGAGGCACGUGUGCCUUUUUGUAUGUACUUUAUGAAUAAGGAUCGGCUAACUCCGUGCCAGCAGCCGCGGUAAUACGGAGGAUCCGAGCGUUAUCCGGAUUUAUUGGGUUUAAAGGGAGCGUAGGGGGUUUGUUAAGUCAGUUGUGAAAGUUUGCGGAUCAACCGUAAAAGUGCAAUUGUGACGGGCAGUCUUGAGGACAGUUGAGGUAGGCGGAAUUCCUAGUGUAGCGGUGAAAUGCGUAGAUAUUAGGAGGAACACCAGUGGCGAAGGCAGCUUGCUGGACAGUAACUGACGUUGAGGCUCGAAAGCGUGGGGAGCAAACAGGAUUAGAUACCCGGGUAGUC